GUCACAGGGCGGGCGGGGCCACGGGCACCGCUGUCAGACCGGCGGGGCGGCGGCUCCUCGCCCGCGCUCCCCCCUCCCGCGCCGGGCACCGGCAGCGGCGACGGGAGGACGGACAGCCUGGCAGCCCGACCCUGAGGGGAGGACCCGAGGCCCUCCUUGCUCCCGGGAGGCAGCUGCAGAGGGAGGAGAAGCGAUGGCGGAGGCAGGAAAGGGACGAGCCCGUCGCUGGAGUCCUGCUGCCCAUCUCUGCCGGGACGCGGUGGGGAGCAGCAGCAGGAACGCGUCCCUGUGGCGCCCGGUCCCCUGCGGGACAUCGCGCUCUGGGAUGGGCCAAGGUGCAUAAACCCCUCCUGGCUGUUCGGCGGGAGCUCCUGUGCCGGAGCAGGGCCGCGGUCGCCGUGGGUCGGGCACCGCUGUUCUGCCACUUGGGCGCCAGCAGACAUCGGUUAUGGGGGUAACGGCAUAGGAAGUGAGCAAUACUGUAUACAAUUGAAACUGAAAGAAAAUCUAGACAAAGCCCAGCCCGUUAAUCAAAUUCCAGAUAGUGUUUCUUCUGGACAAUGUCUAUAAUCGAUUGAGUACCUGGAGUCCAAAAGGUCCGAAACAGACCCAGAGGGCUGAAGACCGCCUGCGUUUGCUUUGAGGAGAUCUCGAGGACACGGCGACAGGGCUGGCUGCACAGCCUCACGUAUUCCAAGAUGCACAUCUGCACUUUUCCUGAUCAAGUACAGCAAUAAAACAACUUUCCUUUCUGUUAUUUAAACAAUGCUGUACAGCCACACUAAAAUGGGAACGUCCCACCAGCCCUGCCAGCACGGUCUGUUCAGGAAUGGCUGCGCGGUUCCGCAGUCAGCGCAGCGGGAGACUGGGAAGGUCAUUUUGCACGAGAUGAAAACAGAGGCAGGCCUUUCAGCAGAAGAUGUACUGACCAACGGUUACACGUUUAGCGCACGGCUGCCAUAUGACUAUUCUGGAUUGAAAAGGGCGUCCACGUCAGGAUCUGUACGACUGCGACGCAAAGCGGAAC